UCCCGUCUUUGACUCAGUGCAUGCUACUAUGUGAUACGUUUUCAAAGAGUCGAGUNGUUUGGGAAUGCAGCUCAAAAUGGGUGGUAAAUUUCAUCUAAAGCUAAAUAUUGGCGAGAGACCGAUAGCGAACAAGUACCGUGAGGGAAAGAUGAAAAGAACUUUGAAAAGAGAGUUAAACAGUGCGUGAAAUUGUUAAAAGGGAAACGCUUGACACCAGUUAUGCGGGUGGAAAAUCAGUCUUUUGGAGUGAAGGGUGGUAAGGGUUCGGACCGCAAGGCCGGCCUUUGCCUCAUCUCUGCUCUAAGUGAUGCACUUUUUCAUUUGCAGGUCAACAUCAGUCGUUUCCGCUGGACAAAACUCCAAGAGAAGGUAGCAGCUUAGGCUGUGUUAUAGCUCUGGAGCGAUACAGCGGAGAGGACUGAGGUUUUCGCAGCGUGUGCUCUCGGGCAAGGUUGACUGGGUGCUAUGGGAUCGUUCGCCGUACAAUGCAUGCAUUUUGCGACGUGUCUUUUUCAUACUCGCUCAGCUCAACUCUUCCACGCUUAGGAUGUUGACAUAAUGGUUUUAAUCGACC
rnacentral:rRNA from 1 species